rnacentral:rRNA from 1 species
GACGAACGCUGGCGGCGUGCUUAACACAUGCAAGUCGAACGGUAAGGCCCUUCGGGGUACACGAGUGGCGAACGGGUGAGUAACACGUGGGUGAUCUGCCCUGCACUUCGGGAUAAGCCUGGGAAACUGGGUCUAAUACCGGAUAGGACUCCGGACUGCAUGGUCUGGGGUGGAAAGCUUUUGCGGUGUGGGAUGGGCCCGCGGCCUAUCAGCUUGUUGGUGGGGUGAUGGCCUACCAAGGCGACGACGGGUAGCCGGCCUGAGAGGGUGACCGGCCACACUGGGACUGAGAUACGGCCCAGACUCCUACGGGAGGCAGCAGUGGGGAAUAUUGCACAAUGGGCGCAAGCCUGAUGCAGCGACGCCGCGUGAGGGAUGACGGCCUUCGGGUUGUAAACCUCUUUCAGCAUCGACGAAGCGAAAGUGACGGUAGGUGCAGAAGAAGGACCGGCCAACUACGUGCCAGCAGCCGCGGUAACAC